CCUACAUCAUUUCAUAAUGUAGAUACGGGAUCAUAGAUAGACAGAGUUGAGGAGUUUUUUUAUUUACUUUUAUUUUGAGUAUUGUACAAACUUUUAAAAAGGUUGAGUAUUCGAGUUUAUUGAAUUUAUUUCAGUUUUAAGCUUUUGUAUACUUGAGUUAGUCUUUCUUUCUCUUGUAGCCAUCCAGGAUAAGGGUUCGCUUGGGGACCAACAAUGGUUCUCG
rnacentral:lncRNA from 1 species